rnacentral:rRNA from 1 species
CCCAGACUCCUACGGGGGGCAGCAGUGGGGAAUAUUGGGCAAUGGGCGCAAGCCUGACCCAGCAACGCCGCGUGAAGGAAGAAGGCUUUCGGGUUGUAAACUUCUUUUCUCAGGGACGAAGAAAGUGACGGUACCUGAGGAAUAAGCCACGGCUAACUACGUGCCAGCAGCCGCGGUAAUACGUAGGUGGCAAGCGUUAUCCGGAUUUACUGGGUGUAAAGGGCGUGUAGGCGGGAAAGCAAGUCAGAUGUGAAAACCACGGGCUCAACCUGUGGCCUGCAUUUGAAACUGUUUUUCUUGAGUACUGGAGAGGCAGACGGAAUUCCUAGUGUAGCGGUGAAAUGCGUAGAUAUUAGGAGGAACACCAGUGGCGAAGGCGGUCUGUUGGACAGCAACUGACGCUGAGGCGCGAAAGCGUGGGGAGCAAACAGGAUUAGAUACCCCAGUA